AUUGAACGCUGGCGGCAGGCCUAACACAUGCAAGUCGAGCGGAAGGGGCUUCGGCCCCGAGAGCGGCGGACGGGUGAGGAUAGCGUGGGAAUCUGCCUGUAGAUGGGGGAUAGCCCGGAGAAAUCCGGAUUACUACCGCAUAAUACCUAAGGGUUAAAGUGGAGGAUCGCAAGACUUCACGUCUACAGAUGAGCCCACGUCAGAUUAGCUAGUUGGUAGGGUAAAGGCCUACCAAGGCGACGAUCUGUAGCUGGCCUGAGAGGGUGGCCAGCCACACUGGAACUGAGACACGGUCCAGACUCCUACGGGAGGCAGCAGUGGGGAAUAUUGGACAAUGGGCGCAAGCCUGAUCCAGCCAUGCCGCGUGUGUGAAGAAGGCCUUCGGGUUGUAAAGCACUUUAAGUUGGGAGGAAGGUUCCAAGGCUAAUACCUUUGGGAAUUGACGUUACCGACAGAAUAAGCACCGGCUAAUUCCGUGCCAGCAGCCGCGGUAA
rnacentral:rRNA from 1 species